UGGGCCCGCGGCCUGGUUAGCUAGUUGGUGGGGUAGUGGCCUACCAAGGCAAUGAUGGGUAGCCGGGUUGAGAGACCGACCGGCCAGAUUGGGACUGAGACACGGCCCAGACUCCUACGGGAGGCAGCAGUUGGGGAAUCUUGCACAAUGGGCGAAAGCCUGAUGCAGCGACGCCGCGUGCGGGAUGAAGGCCUUCGGGUUGUAAACCGCUUUCAGCAGGGACGAGGCCGCAAGGUGACGGUACCUGCAGAAGAAGCCCCGGCUAACUACGUGCCAGCAGCCGCGGUAAAU
rnacentral:rRNA from 1 species